rnacentral:misc_RNA from 1 species
CAUGCCCUUUGACCUGGGCUACAAACGUGAUACAAUGGCUGUUACAAAGGGUAGCUGAAACGUAAGUUCUUGGCCAAUCCCCAAAAACAGUCUCAGUCCGGAUUGAAGUCUGCAACUCGACUUCAUGAAGUUGGAAUCGCUAGUAAUCGCGAAUCAGCAUGUCGCGGUGAAUACGUUCUCGGGGUUUGUACACACCGCCCGUCAAACCACGAAAGUUGGCAAUACCCAAAGCCGGUAGCCUAACUCGUUUAUUCGAGAGGGCGCUGUCUAAGGUAGGGUCGAUGAUUGGGGUUAAGUCGUAACAAGGUAUCCCUACCGGAAGGUGGGGAUGGAUCACCUCCUUUCUAAGGAAACCAAUAAAAUCAAUCAUCUUCAGUUUUGAAAGACUUAGGAUAACUAAGUUUUUCUUCGUGACUUCACGAAGGGCCUAUAGCUCAGUUGGUUAGAGCACACGCCUGAUAAGCGUGAGGUCGGUGGUUCAAGUC